CCCAAUCCCGUUAUCGAAACAAUGCCUAAAUUUUUUCCCCUCAUUCCCAGUGGCUCGCCGCCACUACUCUUCCUCUCUCUCUAUUCUCCCUGAUGCCGGUCCUAGUGUCGGCGCCUCCGAUGAACGGGGAACCACGUUGCUGCCCUGCGCCAUCCACAGGCCCUGUCAAUCUGCCAUCCGUCGCUGCUCAUCUCCGGUCGACGACGAGCCUCCGCCGACCCUCCCCCUUCCGGUGACCGGUCCUAGCCACCAUGGACUCAGGUGCUCCAGAUCCGGACACCCUGAACUCGGAGGUCGCGGAUCCAACCAUCCCGAGUUUGGGUACUCCAAAUCCCACGACCCUAGCUUCACCAGCUCCAGAUCCGGCCUCGAGGUAAGCGGUCCGCCGUCCCUCACACCACCCCGCGUCGUCGAGGUCGACCUGCCAUGGGGAGAGCAGGCGCCAGCUAUUCCCCUUCCACCCGAUCCUCGGUAGUCACUGCCUCAUCUCUUUUAAUCAGGUUAGUGGUCAGUAAAAGCCGCCCUUGCCUUUCCUUGUGUCCAGAUCUGAGUUGGUGCAUCACUAAGAUCUGUUGCUAUUUUCCUUGUUAGACCUCUUAGCAUAAGAAGUUUUUUUUGGUGUGUUUUUGGAUACUCUACAAAUCCCCCAAUUUCUAUGCUAGCUGAACAAAUUAGACCUAGUUCUUUCUACGAAUCGUGAGCUUCCUGCCAGUUGAUGUCUUUCCAUCUCUUUAGGAGAGUAUUUAACUACUGAAAUGCAUAGUGCAUAGGGAGGACACUAUGAAGGAUGGGUGAAAGACCAAGGAAUAUUAAUGUGAGGUAAAUUUAUUUUUGGCUUCUCACUCAGAAUACCCCCAUUUUAUUUUGCUGUUUUGAAGCAGCUUAUGUUGAGAUCUACAUGCAAAACUAGGAAACGGUGAUUUGUUUGACAUGGAAUUAACCUAUCAGUGGCUUAGAAAAUUAUGAUACUAGCUUUAUGAUAAUUUUAAAGGAUAAUAUAUCUGGAUAUUAUUCUUUUUUUAUAGAAUUGGAUAUAGAAUUUACUCCUUAUCAUAGACUAUGCUUUUAUUGGUCACAUUUAGUUAGAAUUUAGAUGUUGGUUAAUAUCUUCCCUAGAAAAAUAAAUCUAGUUAGAAUGCAGAUGCAGAUGCUUUUCUUAUGCUAUUUUUGCCUUGUCAUUCAUGGUAAUGAUUGUGUGAAUGAUGAACACUAUAGUGUUUUGCUUUCUCUGUUUCAGGAACAAACAAAACAUUUAUUUAGCUCUGUUUGUAUGUAUGAAUACAUUAGUGCUUUCCAGUCUCUUGUACUCUGGUAGUGCAUAUACAUACUUCACACGUCUAAAUCCAUGUAUAUCUUUUGGCAAGACAUACUGAUACAUGUGUUGGAUAUAUACAUGCCAUCUAAACAAAAUUAAUUUCAGUCUCUUUGUUUUUAAAAUUUUAUUAUGUACAAACCAUUUAUAAUUUACCUUAGCUUGCAGCUUAAAUGCCGCAGUUAAAUAUCUGUAGAACGUUGUACAACAUGAAAAAUCAAGGUUGAAGCACCACAGAACUUGGAUUGCUGCUGGAAGACAAUUUCCUUGUACAUGUAUUUGAUGAAUACAAUUGUAACUGAACACAUUGAACUUCCUUGAGUAACUGAACACAUUGUACAUGUAUUACUAACUCUGAUUUGAAUGAAUUUGUUGGUACUGAACUUGGAUGGACUAUUCAUGUAAGCUUUGAAAGCUUGAAUUUUGAUGUUUGAAUUGA